rnacentral:lncRNA from 1 species
UCGACUACUUUAUAAAAUGGCGUGACGUUUGUUAUGUUUCAGUGAAUUUAAAACAUUAAAACAAAUAAUUAAACCAAUUUCUUGCUGUAUGAUACUCGCUAUGAAAAGUGGGGAGACAUAAGACAUUCCAUAGUUACGAGGUGUUUAAAAUCAUCUCGAGGAAGAAGGAGGAGAAAGAAAAAGAAGGCGAAGAAGAAGAAAAAGAAGACGACGACGACGAUGACGAAGACGAAGAAAAAGGAGUCUGCUCAUUGUCUGAUACUUCACAUAUCACCAUUGGUUAUGAAGACUUGUGUGUUGGGUGGCCAGGUAUUGAGCAAGGCAUAUCAGAGAGAGAAGAGGAAUAAUUGGUGCCAAGGUGCUAGGUCAUGAAGCUGGGAUUGGAGCAUGCUAAUUUUUUGGACAGGAGACCCGGGACAGGAGAGGAGACUCACGACAGGAGAGGAGCCCAGGACAGGACAGGAGACCCACGACAGGAGAGGAGCCCAGGACAGGACAGGAGACCCACGACAGGAGAGGAGCCCAGGACAAGACACGAGCAACCAACUACCAUUUAUUGAGAAGCUGCAAACACUGCCACUCCUGAGUACUAGCGCGUGCCCACUUAUGUACGAGGUUUUCGUCAGGCUGACAGAAGUUGUAAGUGUGUAAAUCAUUGAUGCUAGAACUGUUGUAUAAAUGCACAUUGUGUAAAACGUCAAGUUGUCUAGCUACCGUGUGUACAUCGUUACUCU